rnacentral:rRNA from 1 species
AUGAACGCUGGCGGCGUGCCUAAUCCAUGCAAGUCGCGCGAACGGACGAGAAGCUUGCUUCUCUGAUGUUAGCGGCGGACGGGUGAGUAACACGUGGAUAACCUACCUAUAAGACUGGGAUAACUUCGGGAAACCGGAGCUAAUACCGGAUAAUAUUUUGAACCGCAUGGUUCAAAAGUGAAAGACGGUCUUGCUGUCACUUAUAGAUGGAUCCGCGCUGCAUUAGCUAGUUGGUAAGGUAACGGCUUACCAAGGCAACGAUGCAUAGCCGACCUGAGAGGGUGAUCGGCCACACUGGAACUGAGACACGGUCCAGACUCCUACGGGAGGCAGCAGUAGGGAAUCUUCCGCAAUGGGCGAAAGCCUGAUGGAGCAACGCCGCGUGAGUGAUGAAGGUCUUCGGAUCGUAAAACUCUGUUAUUAGGGAAGAACAUAUGUGUAAGUAACUGUGCACAUCUUGACGGUACCUAAUCAGAAAGCCACGGCUAACUACGUG